rnacentral:tRNA from 1 species
GGUAGGAUGGCUGAGUGCAUAAGCGGUGGAUUGUAGCCCCACCUACAGAGGUUAAAUUCCUCUUUCUACCA